UUUCAUGUGUAGAAGAAGCUAUAGAAACUCGAAAUGCUGUAUACAAUCUGCAAUGGCCUCCACAUGGAGGAAAGCUACUUGUUGCUGAGUUUGUUGAUACCCAAAUAAAUAUCCUGAAGUUAGUGUUAAGCUACUUGUUGCUGAGUUUGUUGAUCCCCAGGGAGUGAAAGAUAAGGUUGAAGCACCACCUCAAUCUCCUUCAACUCAUGCAACUCCUGUGACCCCAAUCCCGGCUGCAGCCCUGCCUUCUGCCCAGUCCCAACCAUCACCAAGACAACAGAUGCAGAACAAGCAACUUCAACCUGAGAAACUUCCACCACCUCCACUUCCUGAGAAACUCGACCCUCCAAUUGUCACUCUGGAUGAUCUCUUUAAAAAGACAAAGGCAACACCUCGCAUUUACUAUUUGCCCUUGUCUGAUGAACAAGUUGCAGAAAAGUUAAAGGCGCAAGGGAAGAUUAUCAAGCAGUAGAAUUAGGCUAUAAUUUAUCCUAAUCUCAUCUUCGGUUUCUCAUGGAUAACAAGUUGCAGAAAAGUUGAAUACGCAAGGGAAGAUUAUAAAGCAGUAGAAUUAGGCUAUAAUUUAUCCUAAUCUCAUCUUCGGUUUCUCAUGGAUCAGUCUUACAUUGUAAGAGAAUGGUACGAGAGUCAUAUUAUUGCAUCUUUGCAGGUCUGCAGGUCUUGUACGUAGGAAGCUCUGGUUUGGUUGCUGGAGAAGCUGUUUGAUGACAGUUGUUUUUUGCAAGUGUUACCUUGCCUCCGUGAUAGCUUUUUGUGCAAGGACAUUCUUAUAAAGCUCAUUGUGUUUCUUCACCAAAUCAGAUCCUCAGUUCUUGCGAGCUUAGAAUUUUUGCAUCUGUUGUCUGGUCGGAUGAAAAACCUUGCGGAGUUAUCUCUGGAACUAUAAUUACUGUGUAGUUUAGAGCAGAAUCUUGGUUUCUGGGGUGUACUUUGUUAGAAGUGCAGUCCUGUUGAUAUAAUUUGCUCAGAUGUUGAUGACGAUUCUUCUUGCUAUUCACUACCUAGGAGUCUGAAUUCCUCUAUUUGUCUACUAGUUAUCAAACAUGACGGACUAUCUAUUGGUGGACAGAAACAAUCAACCUGAGUUUGGUUUUAGUGGACUGCACUAUUAUUAGAGUCUAUUACUGUGUACUAAUAUCAGUUAUGAAUAUGCUAAUGAAUAUGGGGCGUUUCAGUCCAAAAAAAUGAAUAAAUAUAUGAUAUGCAGCUGUGGGCUUAUUUUUAUUAUUGACACCACAAGUUCACACACAGAAACUUAUGCAAGAAGCUUCAUCAUACUAUUCUAAUACUCUUCCAUUUAGGAUGUGUUUAGUACGGAUGGAAAAUAUUUUCUGGAAUUUUUUUACUAAAAUAAUAUAUUU
rnacentral:lncRNA from 1 species